UGCGCAGUGGUGUUUAUAGC
rnacentral:misc_RNA from 1 species